GCUCAGAACUAACGCCGGCGGCGCGUCUUAAACAUGCAAGUGGAACGGUAAGGCCGUAGCAAUACGGUACACGAGUCGCAAACGGGUGAGUAACACGUGGGUAAUCUGCCUUGGAGUUGGGGAUAGACCUGGGAAACUGGGAGUAAUACCGGAUGUGGACAUAUGGGCGGGAGCUUAUAUGUCUAAAGCAGUAAUGCGCUUCAAGAUGAGCCCGCGGCCCAUUAGCUAGUUGGGGGGGUAAAGGCCCACCAAGGCGACGAUGGGUAGCCGGCCUGAGAGGGUGAACGGCCACAUUGGGACUGAGAUACGGCCCAGACUCCUACGGGAGGCAGCAGUUAAGAAUCUUGCGCAAUGGGGGCAACCCUGACGCAGCGACGCCGCGUGAAUGAUGAAGGCUUUCGGGUUGUAAAGUUCAAUAGGCAGGGAAGAAGUAUGACGGUACCUGUCGAAAGCACCGGCUAAUUACGUGCCAGCAGCCGCGGUAAUACGUAUGGUGCGAGCGUUGUUCGGAAUUAUUGGGCGUAAAGGGCGUGUAGGCGGAUAGACAAGCGAGGAGUGAAAACCACGGGCUCAACCUGUGGCCUGCUUUUCGAACUGUUUAUCUAGAGUUCAGGAGAGGCAAGGGGAAUUUGUGGUGUAGCGGUGAAAUGCGUAGAUAUCACAAGGAAGACCGGUGGCGAAGGCGCCUUGCUGGCCUGAAACUGACGCUGAGGCGCGAAAGCGUGGGGAGCAAACAGGAUUAGAUACCCUGGUAGUCCACGCCGUAAACGUUGUAUACUAGGUGUCGGGUACGAUAGUACUCGGUGCCGUCGCUAACGCAUUAAGUAUACCGCCUGGGGAGUAUGCACGCAAGUGUGAA
rnacentral:rRNA from 1 species